rnacentral:rRNA from 1 species
AUUGAACGCUGGCGGCAUGCCUUACACAUGCAAGUCGAACGGCAGCACGGGAGCAAUCCUGGUGGCGAGUGGCGAACGGGGGAGUAAAGUAUCGGAACGUGCCCAGUCGUGGGGGAUAACGUAGCGAAAGUUACGCUAAUACCGCAUACGAUCUAUGGAUGAAAGCGGGGGAUCGCAAGACCUCGCGCGAUUGGAGCGGCCGAUAUCAGAUUAGGUAGUUGGUGGGGUAAAGGCUCACCAAGCCGACGAUCUGUAGCUGGUCUGAGAGGACGACCAGCCACACUGGGACUGAGACACGGCCCAGACUCCUACGGGAGGCAGCAGUGGGGAAUUUUGGACAAUGGGCGCAAGCCUGAUCCAGCCAUGCCGCGUGCAGGAUGAAGGCCUUCGGGUUGUAAACUGCUUUUGUACGGAACGAAAAGGUUUGACUUAAUACGUUGGACUCAUGACGGUACCGUAAGAAUAAGCACCGGCUAACUACGUGCCAGCCGCCGCUGUAACAC